rnacentral:lncRNA from 1 species
UGAAACAACAAGGAAUUCUAAUGGGAUCUCGGUUCUAAAAGCUCAAAAGUAAGCACAUAGAAGAAGGAAUUGUGCACUUUUAAUGGAGACCAAGUAACUAUAAUCAAUUAGCCACUUAAACGUGUAUUAGGAACAAAAGUACAAUUGAAAAAUAGAAUAUAAUGAACAAGAAACAAUUAUAGACUUAAAGUGUAAGGGAUCUAAUCAAUCCCGAUGGAUAUAACCAGAAGGUUUUUCC